AUUGAACGCUGGCGGCAGGCCUAACACAUGCAAGUCGAGCGGAUGAAGGGAGCUUGCUCCUGGAUUCAGCGGCGGACGGGUGAGUAAUGCCUAGGAAUCUGCCUGGUAGUGGGGGAUAACGUCCGGAAACGGGCGCUAAUACCGCAUACGUCCUGAGGGAGAAAGUGGGGGAUCUUCGGACCUCACGCUAUCAGAUGAGCCUAGGUCGGAUUAGCUAGUUGGUGGGGUAAAGGCCUACCAAGGCGACGAUCCGUAACUGGUCUGAGAGGAUGAUCAGUCACACUGGAACUGAGACACAGUCCAGACUCCUACGGGAGGCAGCAGUGGGGAAUAUUGGACAAUGGGCGAAAGCCUGAUCCAGCCAUGCCGCGUGUGUGAAGAAGGUCUUCGGAUCGUAAAGCACUUUAAGUUGGGAGGAAGGGCAGUAAGUUAAUACCUUGCUGUUUUGACGUUACCAACAGAAUAAGCACCGGCUAACUUCGUG
rnacentral:rRNA from 1 species